AGGGUUUGAUCAUGGCUCAGGAUGAACGCUGGCGGCGUGCUUAACACAUGCAAGUCGAACGAACCUUCGGGUUAGUGGCGGACGGGUGAGUAACGCGUGAGAAUCUGCCCUCAGGAGGGGGAUAACGGUUGGAAACGACCGCUAAUUCCCCAUAUGCCGAUAGGUGAAAUGAAUUUCGCCUGAGGAUGAGCUCGCGUCUGAUUAGCUAGUUGGUGAGGUAAUGGCUCACCAAGGCUUCGAUCAGUAGCUGGUCUGAGAGGAUGAUCAGCCACACUGGGACUGAGACACGGCCCAGACUCCUACGGGAGGCAGCAGUGGGGAAUUUUCCGCAAUGGGCGAAAGCCUGACGGAGCAACGCCGCGUGAGGGAAGAAGGCCUCUGGGCUGUAAACCUCUUUUCUCAAGGAAGAAGAUAUGACGGUACUUGAGGAAUAAGCCACGGCUAAUUCCGUGCCAGCAGCCGCGGUAAUAC
rnacentral:rRNA from 1 species